GCCGCGGCCAUGGCGGCGGGGAGGGGGCGGAUCAGGGAAUCACAGUCACAGGAUCGGUUCCACUAAUUACAAUCCCUAGUUUAGAAAGAGUGGAAGCAGUUCUUGGUUAGGUGCUACAGCUGCAGAGCUCUUCACUUAAGGGAGGAAGAUCUGGCUCUGAAGAGCAGCAUGUGAUGGCCUCAAGUCAGCUUCCUAAGCCCACCUGCAAUCUGGAGAGCUGAAAAUAUGGAAUUGUUGCACUGACCAUGUAGGAAUGCCUGGGGAAAAGAGAAGAGUUCAGCUGGAUCCUGGGAAGGAGCACAAUACAGGACCAGUCUUACAGGAAGAAAAUACAUGAGGACCACAUCAUGGCCAAGAUCCUAAGAAGUAGAUGCAGCAGGAUCGUCUACGAGCCAGGAAAGCCGACCGUUGGAUAACUGCAGACAGCAGGAUUCAGGCUGAAGUCUUGAAGGGGGAAAAAUGAAAUUGCAAAGGUUCUCCCAGCCCAUUACCAUGGGAGACAAGACACAAGGGACAAAUCAUGGAUGGGCUGGAAAUCAACAACAAGACCCUACAGACUGCAGGAAGUUCAAAUCUCCCUUCAGAGGAGUUGAGCAAUUGCAGAGUGCUCCAUUUAGCUGGAUACAAAACCAGCAGGAAGAACACAGAUUGGAAGUUGGCUGCCACAGUGAAAUUGCCUUAUGUUGCACUUAUCACACUGUUGACACUAUAUAACUGAUAACAUUUUAUGAUUUUUUAUGAACAAGCCAGGAGGUGACCUCCAGCUGCAGACUCAUGAAGCCGCAAUAAUCACCCAGACAUCUGGAUAUUGAUCUCUAGGAGAAAGCAGAAUCUGUGGACCUGACCCAAAAAGAAGUAAAGGGACAGUUUAUUUUUUGGGAGGCAUGACUUCUUGGGGAGAAAAGUCAGGGAACUUUCAUCAUGAUGGUCAUGGAAAAAUCAGUUGUGAGGAGGCAUCUCAGAAGUGGGGCAGGGGAGGUGGUUGAAGACCUCUAAUACAUAAAGAUCAAAGAAGGGAAUUGAAGGUGAUGUUGCUGCAUUAGGACAAAGAAAACCCCAUAUGUAAGGAGUGAAUACAUGGAGACAAUGCAAUAAAGGCUGUGAAAAUUCAGCUAAACGGUGAGUAAGGGCUAACGUAGAAUCACAGAAUGGUUUAGUUGAAAAGGACUUUAAAGACCAUCUUCUUCCAUCCCCCUGUCAGGUAGAGGGACACCUUCCACUAUCCCAGGCUGAUCCAAGCCCCAUCCAGUGUGGUCUGGAACACUCCCAGGGAUCCAGAGGCAGCCACAGCUUUUCUGGGCAACCUGUGCCGGGGCCUCACCAACCUCACAGGUUGAACAUCCCCAACUCUCUCAGCCUGUACAGGCACUGCAGCAGAAGACUGGGGUGCAUCUUUCUGCUUCUUGUCUUGGAGGUCCCAGUGAAGAGCUCACCAGUACAGUCUGCUGGGACCAGUCCUCUCUCCCCCGGGCUUCAGCACCCUCCAGGAAGCCAAAGGUCAAUGUGGCAGACCUCCACCAAAGAAUGAGUUAGAGACUCAACCAAAACUGAAAGGUCUGAAGAAAAACUUAUCCCAUCAACUGAAUAUCCCAGACAUUUACUUGAAAGUUCAGAGACUUCUCAUUUGUUUUAUAUUUCCUGUCACUUCUAUCAAUGUGGCUGGAAGUCAAACUACAUUGGGUAGUUUGUAGCCCUUGCUUUCCUCAAGAGCCAUCUGAUUGUCCUGAAGACACACCACAUGAUUUCCCAAGAGGGGGAAGAGGAGCCAUGGGUUUAGCCCUGUACCUGCUGUGCAUUCCUGCCCAUCCAAAUCCACUUUGUAACCAAAUCUGCCUGGGAUGAUGACCAGGCUUGGCAUCUCCUGGACCACAAGCCAGUGUCUCCACUAGGCAGACCUGUUUGUUUCCUGGGGUGUCUAGUUUGAUUCAUAUUGACAGGGCAGGUACCCGCUCUGCACUCCCCAUGGGUGUAGGGAAGCUGGGCUUCCAGACGAUUAUUUAUAGGGCACAGCAUUAUUUAUGUUCCCCUAUUCUUGCUAUCUUGCUGUCACACCCUGAACUGCAUUUCAAAAUCACACUUUAGUAGUAGAUCUGUGAUUUCAUUUAAUUUCAUUAAAUUAAAUGAAACUUUCUGGAAUGAAGUAAAAUGAAAAGAAAAGAAAUUCUAUAGAAUUAAAUGAAAUUAAAUUUUAAAAUUUAAUGAAAUGAAAUUUAGUGAAAUGAAAUUCUGUGAAAUUUUAUGGAGUGAAAUGAGAUUCUAAAAAUGAGAUGAAAUUAAAUUAAAUUUCAUGGAAUGAAAUUAAAUGAAACGAAAUGCUGCAACUGGCAGAUUUUUUAUUUCUUUCAAAAUAUUUAGAACACUCAAUAGCUGAUUUGCUGAUAUUAACAUCUGCAAUGCUACUUCUCUGAAAAAUUUAAUUCAUCUUAUUCCACACAGAAUUAGAUGUCUCUGAAAAUAUUUAUGACCUGAUGAACUCUUUUCUUAACCACUACUCACUCUCAAGGAUCAUGAUUCACAGCUUGCAUUAUGUUGGCAAUUCCAGUGGACCUGCAGACUGCUUGUAGUUGUGCAUUUGUGGUUGCAGAGAGUGUUUGGUAAGUCAAAUCCUUGUAAAUGUCUGUGGCAUUUGCUCAUAUAACUAAAUGCAUUAAUGGACAUUACAUUGGGAGAUCAGCUGUGGUAUUGCUAAAACAAAAAAAUUAAGUAUCAAACAACAAAAAAAUUAAGUACCAAGUAAAGCUGUCCUUUCUCUUCU